GUAGAAAAAAAUGUUAGUAGUGUUUUCAUAUCUACAAAAGAACAGGAACUUAGCAAUGCAACAUAAAUGUAAUUAUGCUUCCAGUUUACUAGGGAAUGCAUGUCUACGGACAAGACAUUUUUUCACUUUAUUUGUAUAUCCAACUUUGAUGGCAUAUAUCUCCAGCUAGGGUACUGCAAUUUUGAUAAAUGAGGUAGUUUCUGAUAAUGUAUAUACUAGAAGAGAAAAUAAAAGACAUAAUAGCAUAAAUUUAAUUUAUUUUUCUCUUUUAUCACUACACUGAGAAAGCUAAAAACAAAAGUACAAAAUUGCAUAACGAGCGCAUAGUAUUCAACUUUUUAUCAUAACUUUGUAACCACUGAAGAUUUUUUGUUGCAACAACCAGUAAAAGAAAGAAGAAUAAAUUGUCUAUAACAG
rnacentral:lncRNA from 1 species